rnacentral:rRNA from 1 species
GACGAACGCUGGCGGCGUGCCUAACACAUGCAAGUCGAGCGGAGUUGACAAGAGGAAGUUUUCGGAUGGAAUCUUGCCAGCUUAGCGGCGGACGGGUGAGUAACGCGUGAGCGACCAACCUUGCACAGGGGGAUAACGGACCGAAAGGUUCACUAAUACCGCAUGAGACCACGGUGUUGCAUGACACAGGGGUCAAAGGAGGAAUCCGGUGCAAGACGGGAUCGCGUCCGAUUAGGUAGUUGGAGGGGUAACGGCCCACCAAGCCUAUGAUCGGUAGCCGUCCUGAGGGUGUAAUCGGCCACCUUGGAGCUGAGAUACGGUCCAAGCUGCUACGGGAGGCAGCAGUAGGGAAUAUUGGGCAAUGGGGGAAACCCUGACCCAGCAACGCCGCGUGAAGGAAGAAGGUUUUCGGAUUGUAAACUUCUGUCCUUUGUGAAGAGAAGAAGACGGUAGCCAAGGAGGAAGCCCCGGCUAACUACGUGCCAGCAGCCGCCGCAG